rnacentral:lncRNA from 1 species
AUGGAGGAGCAAGGCGACGCUCAGGAGCCCGAAGCGGGCCCAGCGCCGGCAGGAUCGGGACCCGCCAGGGCGGAGGAGUUCGACCUUUCUUUGGAUGAAAUCAUUAACCGUAACAAGAAAGGGCAGACGAAUGCAAGGGGGAACAGAUGGAGGCAGCCGUUCAAGAACUGGAACCCAGCCUAUGGCAACAGAAGACCUCGGUUCCGGAGCUGGAUGUCACGGAAUAUGCAAGGAGCCAACAGGUUUAGAACCGGAGGACCUCAAAAGCCGCAGUAUUUCAGGAAGCCGUUUUGGAAUGGUGUGGGCAGACCAAGGUGGAGAGCUGCUGCUGGAGCGAAGAGCGUCAGCCCACUAAAUCGCCCAGCUGCAGCUACGCAGGACAGGCCGGAAGGAACCUCUUUCCCCGGAAGCAGCGAAGGGGCAGCAGUGAAGACGCCACAGGGGCAGCCUGCAAGGGUGCAGCAGUUUAGAGGUCCAGGACCUUUGGGGCCAGCCCAAAGUAACAGGCCGUUCCGAAUAAAUCGAAGACCGGCUUUCUACCAGCGCCAAUUCAGAUCCAACUUUAAUGGAGGGCAAACCAAACUGAAUGCGAAAGGGAAGCCAUCGCGAAAUAGAAGGUGGCAGGUGCCAUCCGGUUCCGGGGCGGUCCUGACUAUUUCUGUGUCUAACCCUCAGGCAAGCCAGACAAGUGGGCCAGGCGCCAAGCGCCCUUUCCUGAAAGGGAGAAGCGCCCCGAUGAAGCCGGCCCCCCACCAGCCGAAAGGCGUGCCCCUGAGGUUCAACUUCCGGGCCAUGGCGAACCAGACCAGCUUGACGUUGAAUGAGAGGUUCUCCGGGCUGUGGAAGAGACGUCGUUUCGCAGCGCCAAGGAACCCGGGCCGGAUGGUCACCCUGCCUUGACGCCGCUGUUCAGACCAGCUCCGGAAAGGAGGAGGCCCAGAGCUUGAGCGGCGUUCUUCUUCUGUCGCGGAGACUUUGGGGAUCAACCCAGCGGCAAAAGGAGAGAUGCAUCGAAGGCGGCGUAACGGCGAUUCUUGUCUGUGCUCCGGGCAGAACUGUGGACAGCGGCUGUGACACUUUCCUGCCUCCCAAGGCCCUGCAAAUGUCCUUUAACCCAUGGCAAGCCUUGUGUUUUGAUUGACGGAGCCUGGCUCAGUGUCGAAGAGUCUGGAGACCUGCAGUGGCAGGAUGACCUCCAGCGUCUGUUCCUAGGAGAAACUUGGUGCAUCUUCAGAAACCUGCCGGGGUUUUGCUGCAAUGGGAAAGAAGAGGAAAGGAUGUGGUGCCUUUACCACCUCUCCAUUUGGGUUCAGAUUUGUGCUGGUUCCCCCCCACUCCCCCCCACCCAAAAAGCACUUCUACAGAAUUGUACCAAAGAUUUGUGUGUGUGUGUGUCCAGCAACAGCUCGAUGAAUAAAUCUGUUUUUAGAAGUUAAAGA